ACAGCGGAAGCCGAAAAGCUGAGAGAAAGAGUAGGCG
rfam:Bacteroidetes bacterium CG2_30_32_10 cg2_3.0_scaffold_1084_c, whole genome shotgun sequence.